CUGAGAUCUUUUUGUCCAACACUUACCACAGUUCUCCAAGAACGUGGUGGCAGGGACCAAGCUUCUGAUGUGUGUUUAUGUCCUCCCACUUCAGAGUCCUGCCAUCUCUGCCUCGGCCUGCUUGAUGCGACUGUCUCCUUUGAGAGCCCUUGAAAAAGCCCCUUGCCCGUCAGAAGCUUUUCCUGUCAACAGCUUUUCUUUCCCAGCAUGGAACUCAUCGCAGGUAUUUUCCAAAAAAGAAAGCCCGGGGAAUCACAUUUCAGUCUGAAUGUGGAAAGAAAACAAAGCCCACGACUUAGAGCUAAGUCUGAAUGGCCCGGAGCCUCCCUCUCACCGAGUGGUUUACACAGUUGCCAAUCUGCGCCUGGUGACAGGCAUGGCAUGUUUGUCUUUGUUGCAGAAAACGCUUCCCCAAGGGAGUUCCAGGCAGAAGGCUAUCCACCCUGUGACAUGCACUGUUCAAGAGAGGUGCUUGCUCAGUCUCAGUCACUCUGUCAUAUCCAACUCUUUAUGACCUCAUGGACGAUGGCCCACCAGGCUCCACUGUUCGUGGGAUUUUUCAAGCAACAAAAUUGGAGUGGGUUGCCAUUUCCUCCUCCAAGGACUCUUACUGGACCAGGGAUCGAACCUGCAUCUUCUCCAUUGGUCUGCUCGUUGGCAGUCUCUUCUCCACCCAGAAACAGGGGCUUACAGCUUCCGCCACUGGCUCUUCGCUCCCGCUGAAAGCCUGUGGCUUGUUCCCCGCUGCCGCUGGAAUAAAGUGGAUCAGGAAUCCUGUGACAGUGUGAGAACCACAGAGCAGAGAAUCAGAGCCAGCUAAGGAUGGAGAAAGAGAAACAGAGCCCUGAAGACUUCAUCUGAGCCUCCCCUCUAGUGAUGCCUGUUAGUUCCAUGAACCCACGGAUUCUUUUUUCCCCUAAUCUAGUUUGAGUCAGAUUUUGAU
ensembl:lncRNA